rnacentral:rRNA from 1 species
UAACAAGGAUUCCCCUAGUAACUGCGAGUGAAGCGGGAAAAGCUCAAAUUUAAAAUCUGGCGGUCUUUGGCUGUCCGAGUUGUAGUCUGGAGAAGCGUUUUCCGCGCUGGACCGUGUACAAGUCCCUUGGAAUAGGGCGUCAUAGAGGGUGAGAAUCCCGUCUUUGACACGGACUACCAGUGCUUUGUGAUGCGCUCUCAAAGAGUCGAGUUGUUUGGGAAUGCAGCUCAAAAUGGGUGGUAAAUUCCAUCUAAAGCUAAAUAUUGGCGAGAGACCGAUAGCGAACAAGUACCGUGAGGGAAAGAUGAAAAGCACUUUGGAAAGAGAGUUAAACAGUACGUGAAAUUGCUAAAAGGGAAACGCUUGAAGUCAGUCGCGUUAUGCAGAACUCAGCCUGGCUUUUGCUUGGUGUAUUUUCUGUAUGACGGGCCAGCAUCAAUUUUGGCCGCUGGAAAAAGGCCUCAGAAAUGUGGCACCUUCGGGUGUGUUAUAGUCUGAGGUCAUAUACAGCGGCUGGGAUUGAGGUCUGCAGCACGCCUUUAUGGCUGGGGUUCGCCCACAUUCGUGCUUAGGAUGC